UCCGGUUGAUUCUGCCGGGAAUAUAUGCUUGUCUCAAAGACUAAGCCAUGCAUGUGUAAGUGUAUACCUUUUACACGGUGGGACUGCGAAUGGCUCAUUAAAUCAGUUAUAAAAUAAGUAGCGUUGCUUUUACUACUCGGCUAACCGUAGUAAUUCUAGAGCUAAUACGUGCUAAAACACCCGACUUUUUGAAGGGUGGUGCAGAUUAGAUCCAGAACCAAUGCAGGGGGCAACUCCUGACCUUGGGAUGAUUCAAAAUGUGCAAUAACGAACCGCAUUGCUUUUUGCAAGCGGUGUGCUACUAUGUGUUUCUGCCCUAUCACGGUAGACGGUGAGGUAUUGGCUCACCGUGCCUUUAACGGGUAACGGGGAAUCAGGGUUCGAUUCCGGAGAGGGAGCCUGAGAAACGGCUACCACAUCCAAGGAAGGCAGCAGGCGCGCAAUUACCCAAUCUCGAUACGAGGAGGUAGUGACGAAAAAUAGCAAUGUAGGGCCUUUUGGUCUUGCAAUUGAAAUGAGUACAAUUUAAACGAUUUUUUCGAGGAUCAAAAUCAGGGCAAGUCUGGUGCCAGCAGCCGCGGUAAUUCCAGCUGAUUUAGCGUAUAUUCAUGUUGCUGCAGUUAAAACGUACGUAGUCUUAUUUUAGUGCAUUGCUAUAUGGUCUUUUCUAUGAAUUGUACUGUAAAACAUGCACUGUGUGUCUAUUUGCAAGGGUGCUUUAUUGUGCCUUUGUUGGUAGAUGCAGGUUACUUUGAAAAAAUCAGAGUGUUCAAAGCAGGCUUUAUGCCGUGAAUACGUUAGCAUGGAAUAAUAGAAUAGGACUUUGGUUCUAUUUUGUUGGUUUCUAGGACUAAAGUAAUGAUUAAUAGGGGCGGUCGGGGGCGUUAAUAUUCCAAUGUCAGAGGUGAAAUUCUUGGAUUUUUGGAAGAUUAACUACUGCGAAAGCAUUCGCCAAGGACGCUUUCAUUGAUCAAGUGCGAAAGCCUAAGUAUCGAACAGGAUCAGAGACCCUGGUAGUUUAGGCUGUAAAUGAUGCCAACUAGGGAUUGGUGGGUGUUGUUUAUGACCCCAUCAGCAUCUUCCGGGAAACCAAAGUUUUUGGGUUCUGGGGGGAGUAUGGUCGCAAGGCUGAAACUUGAAGAAAUUGACGGAAGGGCACCACCAGGAGUGGAGCCUGCGGCUUAAUUUGACCCAACACGGGAAAACUUACCAGGUCCAGACAUAGUGAGGAUUGACAGAUUGAGAGCUCUUUCUUGAUUCUAUGGGUGGUGGUGCAUGGCCGUUCUUAGUUGGUGGAGUGAUUUGUCUGCUUAAUUGCGAUAACGAACGAGAUCUUAACCUGCUAAA
rnacentral:rRNA from 1 species